rnacentral:piRNA from 1 species
UCCUGCAUCCCCUGGAGAGAAGACCAGUG